GUUCAAACGAGGAAAGGCUUACGGUGGAUACCUAGGCACCCAGAGACGAGGAAGGGCGUAGUAAUCGACGAAAUGCUUCGGGGUUGAAAAUAAGCAUAGAUCCGGAGAUUCCGAAUAGGGCAACCUUCGAACUGCUGCCACAAAGACAUCGGUAGGGAGCGUUCCGCCUUAGUGAGAAAGCCUCCGCGCGAGCAGGGGUGGACGAAGGCGGAAAGCGAGAAUGUCCGCGCUUGAUAACGCAAACAUUGUGAGAAUCAAUGCCCCGAAAACCUAAGGGUUCCUCCGCAAGGUUGCGUCCACGGAGGGUGAGUCAGCGGCCUAAGAUCAGGCGAAAGGCGUAGUCGAUGCGACAACAGGUGAAUAUUCCUGUACUAUAGCUUUGUUGCGGUCCCGAGGGACGGAGGAGGCUAGGUUAGCCGAAAGAUGGUUUUCGGUCAAGAACGUAAGGUGCCCUUUCAGGGUAAGAAGGGUAGAGAAAAUGCCUCGAGCCAAUGUUCGAGUACGAGGCGCUACGGCCGCUGAAGUAACCCAUGCCAUACUUCCAGGAAAAGCUCGAACGAUCAACCACAAAGUGUACCUGCUACCGAAACCGACACAGGUGGGUAGGUAGAGAAUACCUAGGGGCGCGAGACAAACCUUCUUCUAAGGAACUCGGCAAAAUAGCCCCGUAACUUCGGAGAAGGGGUGCCUCCUCACAAGGGGUUGCAGUGACAGGCCCGGGCGACUUGCUUUACCAAAAAACACGGUCUCCGCAAAGUCGUAAGACCAUGUAUGGGGGCUGACGCCUGCCAGUCGCCGAAGGUUAAGAAGUUUGGUGACCUGAUGACAGGGAGCCGGCGACCGAAGCCCGUGUGAACGGCGGCCGUAACUAUAACGGUCCUAAGUAGCGAAAUUCCUUGUCGGGUUAAGUUCCGACCCCACGAAAGGCGCGUAACGAUCUGGGCACUGUCUCGGAGAGGAGGCUUCGCGUGAAAUAGACAUGUCUGUGAAGAUGCGACUACCUGCACCCCGACAGAAAGACCCUAUGAAGCUUCACUGUUCCCUCGGAUUGGCUUUGGGCCCUUCCUGCGCAGCUUAGGUGGAAGGCGAAGGAAGGCCCCUUCCGGGGCGGCCCGAGCCAUCAGUGAGAUACCACUUCGAAGGGCUAGAAUUCUAACCUUGUGCCAGGACCUACGCGGCCAAGGCGACAGUUUCAGGUAGACAGUUUCUUAUGGGCGUAGGCCUCCCAAAGGUAACGGAGGCGUGCAAAGGUUUCCCUCGGGCCGGACGGAGAUUCGCCUCGAGUGCAAAGGCAGGAAGGGGGAGCCUUGACUGCAAGACCCACCCUCCCGUCGAGCAGGGGACGAAAGUCGGCCUUAGUGAUCCGACGGUGCCGAGUGGAAGGGCGUCGCUCAACGGAUAAAAGUUACUCUAGGGAUAACAGGCUGAUCUUCCCAAGAGCUCACAUCGACGGGAAGGUUUGGCACCUCGAUGUCGGCCUCUCGCCACCUGGGCGCUGUAGUAUGUUCCAAGGGUUGCGGCUGUUCGCCAUUAAAGCGGUACUGUGAGCUGGCGUUCAGAACGUCGCUGAGACAGUUCGGUCCAUAUCCUGUGGGCGUUAGAGCAUUGAGAGGACCUUUCCCUAGUACGAGAGGACCGGGAAGACGCACCUUGGUGUACCAGUUUAUCGUGCCCACGGUAAACGCUGGGUAGCCAAGUGCGGAGCGGGAUAACUGCCUGAAAGCAUCUAAGUAGUAAGCCACCCAAGAUGAGUGCUCUCCUAUUUCCGACUUCCCCAGAGCUCCGGUAGACAGCCCGAGACAGCGACGGGUUCCUGCCCUGCGGGGAUGGAGCGACAGAAGUUUUUUGAGAAUUCAGGAGAAGGUCACGGCGGAGACGAGCCGUUUAUCAUUACGAUAGGUGUCAAGUGGAAGUGCCAGUGAUGUAUGCAGCUGAGGCAUCCUAACAGACGGUAGACUUGAACCU
rfam:Ipomoea nil DNA, scaffold: scaffold0140, cultivar: Tokyo-kokei standard.